rnacentral:rRNA from 1 species
UACGGAGGAUGCGAGCGUUAAUCGGAAUUACUGGGCGUAAAGCGCGCGUAGGCUGUUGUGUAAGUUGGGGGUGAAAUCCCACGGCUCAACCGUGGAACAGCCCUUGAUACUGCGCGACUUGAAUCCAGGAGAGGGUGGCGGAAUUCCAGGUGUAGGAGUGAAAUCCGUAGAUAUCUGGAGGAACAUCAGUGGCGAAGGCGGCCGCCUGGCCUGUUACUGACGCUGAGGCACGAAAGCGUGGGUAUCGAACAGG